rfam:Hanseniaspora uvarum DSM 2768 Contig_18, whole genome shotgun sequence.
UCUCUAUGAUGUUAUUAUAAUAUUUGCUACUUCAGAGGGACCAUCUAUCCCAAUGAGACAUACUAAUUAUCACCAAGAUCUCUGAGAGA